rnacentral:rRNA from 1 species
AUUGAACGCUGGCGGCAGGCCUAACACAUGCAAGUCGAACGAGUGGCGGACUGGUGAGUAAUGUCUGGGACACUGCCUGAUGGAGGGGGAUAACUACUGGACACGGUAGCUACUACCUCAUACCCUCCUAUGUGCCCCAAUGGGAUUAGCUUGUUGGUGGGGUAACGGCUCACCAAGGCGACGAUCCCUAGCUGGUCUGAGAGGAUGACCAGCAACACUGGAACGGAGACACGGUCCAGACUCCUACGGGAGGAAGCAGUGGGGAAUAUUGCACAAUGGGCGCAAGCCGGAUGCAGCCAUGCCGCGUGUAUGAAGAAGGUCUUCGGGUUGUAAAGUACUUUCAGCGGGGAGGCGUUACCCGCAGAAGAAGCACCGGCUAACUCCGUGCCAGCAGCCGCGGUAAUAC